AGCGAUGGCAAUACCACCCUGAAUGCAUCUGAUCUCAUCUGAUCUUGGAAGCUAAGCAAGGUCGGCCUGACUAGGACUUGGAUGGAAGACUGCCUGGGAAUGUCGAGUGCUGUAGGCU
ensembl:rRNA 5S_rRNA 5S ribosomal RNA